rnacentral:rRNA from 1 species
AGAGUUUGAUCCUGGCUCAGGAUGAACGCUAGCGAUAGGCUUAACACAUGCAAGUCGAGGGGCAGCAUUAUUUUAGCUUGCUAAGAUAGAUGGCGACCGGCGCACGGGUGCGUAACGCGUAUGCAACCUGCCUGUAAUUAGGGAAUAACCCGGUGAAAGUCGGACUAAUACCCUAUAUUCUUCUUUCUCCGCAUGGGGAAGGACGGAAAGAUUUAUUGAUUACAGAUGGGCAUGCGUCCCAUUAGCUAGUUGGUAAGGUAACGGCUUACCAAGGCAACGAUGGGUAGGGGGACUGAGAGGUUGACCCCCCACACUGGUACUGAGACACGGACCAGACUCCUACGGGAGGCAGCAGUGAGGAAUAUUGGUCAAUGGGCGAGAGCCUGAACCAGCCAAGUCGCGUGAAGGACGACGGUUCUAUGGAUUGUAAACUUCUUUUGUAGAGGAAUAAUGGCAGCUACGCGUAGCUGAGAUGCAUGUACUCUACGAAUAAGUAUCGGCUAACUCCGUGCCAGCAGCCGCGGUAAUACGGAGGAUACGAGCGUUAUCCGGAAUUAUUGGGUUUAAAGGGUGCGUAGGUGGCGUAUUAAGUCAGUGGUGAAAAGCUGCAGCUCAACUGUAGUCUUGCCGUUGAAACUGAUAUGCUAGAGAGGAGACGAGGUAUGCGGAAUGUGUGGUGUAGCGGUGAAAUGCAUAGAUAUCACACAGAACGCCGAUUGCGAAGGCAGCGUACCAGGCUCCGUCUGACACUGAAGCACGAAAGCGUGGGGAUCAAACAGGAUUAGAUACCCUGGUAGUCCACGCAGUAAACGAUGAAUACUAGAUUUUUGCGAUAUACUGUAAGAGUCUAAGCGAAAGCGAUAAGUAUUCCACCUGGGGAGUACGCCGGCAACGGUGAAACUCAAAGGAAUUGACGGGGGCCCG